rnacentral:tRNA from 1 species
AAGGGUGUAGCUCAAGGGGUGGAGCGUAUGCUUAGCACGCAUGAGUUCCUCGGUUCAAGCCCCAGCACCUCCU